CAGACGAACGCUGGCGGCGUGCCUAAUACAUGCAAGUCGAGCGGACAGAUGGGAGCUUGCUCCCUGAUGUUAGCGGCGGACGGGUGAGUAACACGUGGGUAACCUGCCUGUAAGACUGGGAUAACUCCGGGAAACCGGGGCUAAUACCGGAUGCUUGUUUGAACCGCAUGGUUCAAACAUAAAAGGUGGCUUCGGCUACCACUUACAGAUGGACCCGCGGCGCAUUAGCUAGUUGGUGAGGUAAUGGCUCACCAAGGCAACGAUGCGUAGCCGACCUGAGAGGGUGAUCGGCCACACUGGGACUGAGACACGGCCCAGACUCCUACGGGAGGCAGCAGUAGGGAAUCUUCCGCAAUGGACGAAAGUCUGACGGAGCAACGCCGCGUGAGUGAUGAAGGUUUUCGGAUCGUAAAGCUCUGUUGUUAGGGAAGAACAAGUACCGUUCGAAUAGGGCGGUACCUUGACGGUACCUAACCAGAAAGCCACGGCUAACUACGUGCCAGCAGCCGCGGUAAUACGUAGGUGGCAAGCGUUGUCCGGAAUUAUUGGGCGUAAAGGGCUCGCAGGCGGUUUCUUAAGUCUGAUGUGAAAGCCCCCGGCUCAACCGGGGAGGGUCAUUGGAAACUGGGGAACUUGAGUGCAGAAGAGGAGAGUGGAAUUCCACGUGUAGCGGUGAAAUGCGUAGAGAUGUGGAGGAACACCAGUGGCGAAGGCGACUCUCUGGUCUGUAACUGACGCUGAGGAGCGAAAGCGUGGGGAGCGAACAGGAUUAGAUACCCUGGUAGUCCACGCCGUAAACGAUGAGUGCUAAGUGUUAGGGGGUUUCCGCCCCUUAGUGCUGCAGCUAACGCAUUAAGCACUCCGCCUGGGGAGUACGGUCGCAAGACUGAAACUCAAAGGAAUUGACGGGGGCCCGCACAAGCGGUGGAGCAUGUGGUUUAAUUCGAAGCAACGCGAAGAACCUUACCAGGUCUUGACAUCCUCUGACAAUCCUAGAGAUAGGACGUCCCCUUCGGGGGCAGAGUGACAGGUGGUGCAUGGUUGUCGUCAGCUCGUGUCGUGAGAUGUUGGGUUAAGUCCCGCAACGAGCGCAACCCUUGAUCUUAGUUGCCAGCAUUCAGUUGGGCACUCUAAGGUGACUGCCGGUGACAAACCGGAGGAAGGUGGGGAUGACGUCAAAUCAUCAUGCCCCUUAUGACCUGGGCUACACACGUGCUACAAUGGACAGAACAAAGGGCAGCGAAACCGCGAGGUUAAGCCAAUCCCACAAAUCUGUUCUCAGUUCGGAUCGCAGUCUGCAACUCGACUGCGUGAAGCUGGAAUCGCUAGUAAUCGCGGAUCAGCAUGCGCGGG
rnacentral:rRNA from 2 species